GAUGAACGCUGGCGGCGUGCCUAAUACAUGCAAGUCGAGCGAACGGACGAGAAGCUUGCUUCUCUGAUGUUAGCGGCGGACGGGUGAGUAACACGUGGAUAACCUACCUAUAAGACUGGGAUAACUUCGGGAAACCGGAGCUAAUACCGGAUGAUAUUUUGAACCGCAUGGUUCAAAAGAGAGAUACGGUGUUGCUGGCACUUAUAGAUGGAUCCGCGCUGCAUUAGCUAGUUGGUAAGGUAACGGCUUACCAAGGCAACGAUGCAUAGCCGACCGGAGAGGCUGAUCGGCCACCCUGGAACUGAGCCAGCGUCAAGACUCCUAAGGGAGGCAGCAGUCGGGUAUCGUCCGCAAUGGGCGAGAGCCUUACGGAACAACGCCGCGUGAGAGAUGAAGGUCUUCGGAUCGUGAUACUCUGUUAUUAGGGAAGAACAUAUGUGUAAGUAACUGUGCAGAUCUUGACGGUACCUAAUAAGAAAGCCACGGCUAACUACGUG
rnacentral:rRNA from 1 species